CGGCGUGCUUAACACAUGCAAGUCGAACGAAGAUGCCGGAGUUGCUUGCACUUGGCAGACUGAGUGGCGGACGGGUGAGUAACGCGUGGGUAACCUGCCUUAUACAGGGGGAUAACAGUUGGAACGACUGCUAAUACCGCAUAAGCGCACGGUAUCGCAUGAUACAGUGUGAAAAACUCCGGUGGUAUAAGAUGGACCCGCGUCUGAUUAGCUUGUUGGUGGUGUAAUGGACUACCAAGGCGACGAUCAGUAGCUGGUUUGAGAGGAUGAUCAGCCACAAUGGGACUGAGACACGGCCCAUACUCCUACGGGAGGCAGCAGUGGGGAAUAUUGCACAAUGGGGGAAACCCUGAUGCAGCGACGCCGCGUGAGCGAAGAAGUAUUUCGGUAUGUAAAGCUCUAUCAGCAGGGAAGAAAAUGACGGUACCUGACUAAGAAGCCCCGGCUAACUGCGUG
rnacentral:rRNA from 1 species